rnacentral:rRNA from 1 species
CCAAUAGCGUAUAUUAAAGUUGUUGCAGUUAAAAAGCUCGUAGUUGAAUUUCGGGAUCAAUCUAUCGGUCGUGCAAUAGUACGUACUGAUUUUAUUGAUUCCUCCCUUCUGAUGAACUAUGAUGUCAUUAAUUUGGUGUCAUAGGGAAUCAGGACUGUUACUUUGAAAAAAUUAGAGUGUUUAAAGCAGGCUCACGCUUGAAUACAUUAGCAUGGAAUAACGGAAUAGGACGUUUGAUUCUAUUUUGUUGGUUUCUAGGAUCGACGUAAUGAUUAAUAGGGAUAGUUGGGGGCAUUAUUAUUCAAUUGUCAGAGGUGAAAUUCUUGGAUUUAUUGAAGACUAACUACUGCGAAAGCAUUUGCCAAGGAUGUUUUCAUUAAUCAAGAACGAAAGUUAGGGGAUCGAAGACGAUCAGAUACCGUCGUAGUCUUAACCAUAAACUAUGCCGACUAGGGAUCGGAUGAUGUUAAUUUUUUAAUGGCUCAUUCGGCGCCUUACG